rnacentral:rRNA from 1 species
ACGGGAGGCAGCAGUAGGGAAUCUUCGGCAAUGGACGGAAGUCUGACCGAGCAACGCCGCGUGAGUGAAGAAGGUUUUCGGAUCGUAAAGCUCUGUUGUAAGAGAAGAACGAGUGUGAGAGUGGAAAGUUCACACUGUGACGGUAUCUUACCAGAAAGGGACGGCUAACUACGUGCCAGCAGCCGCGGUAAUACGUAGGUCCCGAGCGUUGUCCGGAUUUAUUGGGCGUAAAGCGAGCGCAGGCGGUUAGAUAAGUCUGAAGUUAAAGGCUGUGGCUUAACCAUAGUACGCUUUGGAAACUGUUUAACUUGAGUGCAAGAGGGGAGAGUGGAAUUCCAUGUGUAGCGGUGAAAUGCGUAGAUAUAUGGAGGAACACCGGUGGCGAAAGCGGCUCUCUGGCUUGUAACUGACGCUGAGGCUCGAAAGCGUGGGGAGCAAACAGGAUUAGAUACCCUGGUAGUCCACGCCGUAAACGAUGAGUGCUAGGUGUUAGACCCUUUCCGGGGUUUAGUACCGCAGCUAACGCAUUAAGCACUCCGCCUGGGGAGUACGACCGCAAGGUUGAAACUCAAAGGAAUUGACGGGGGCCCGCACAAG